CCCACACACACUCCAGCCCAGCUGUCUACAGUGAUAAAUGAUGGGCCUUUCUUUAAAUUUCCUUUCUGCUCUGCGUGAGGACUGGCCAGUGUGGAUAUGUACUCGACACGGAUAAAUGGCUCUGGCAAGCCCACCAGACUGUCCACGUGGCAACAGAUGGUCCAGCUCAAAGCUUUUGUUGUGCUAAUGUUGGAACUUGCUGCUACCUGAAGCAGUUAUCGUUUCAUAAACAAUGAUGCUGCCACUGCUCUGUGGAUAAACUGUCCUUUAUACUUUGCAGGGCCCACCAUGGGUGUUGACGGCUUCAUGAUGGUAAGAAGAGAACCCCCAGUCAUCCAGCUGGCGUGGCAGCCAAAGAGAAACACUUAAUCGGAUGGAGAUGAGAGCCCACCAGAGCAUAUAAUAGUCGCUGCUCCAAGAAGGCUGAGAUUCUAGGAUGCACGCACAGCCCACUCUCAACUCAUGACCUCCUCUGUGCCCAGGGAGCAGAACCUGCUAAUGAGAGGAACAGAAAAACCCACACAGGUGAGCCCAGCAGAUAUUAAAACUUGUUCCCCGUGGUUAUGUGUCUCCCUUAUUAAGUCAUAAGCUCCCACAACCUCUUUAAUACAUGGUAAAUACUGAAUGAAUGAAUGAAUGAUUGCAGAAAACGUUAUAAAGAGGAGACAAGAAACAGCUCAGAUAUCGAACUACCGUAUUUCCUGAUAUGCAAGAAUCAGAGGUAUACAAGAAACUACUCUCAUUUUACAAGGACAUUAUGGGAAGGAAGGAAGGAGAACCAGAAUAGAUUUCAUCAUCCAUGUGUUUAUAAUUAUUUUCAAUUGCAUUUAUAAUGACAGUUUUUUUGUUUAUGCUCAUGCAAGUAUGUUUAUACUGAAAUGAUACAAAUUCUUUUGCACCACUGAAAACCAAAUUAUUAUUUUAUAUCUGUUUGAUUCUCUGUAAUCCAUUUACUAUUUGGGCAUCUUAGAUGAAGAGUAUUUUAGGGUUUUGGUUUUGUUUGUUUGUUUGUUUGUUUUGACAGAGUCUGGCUCCAUCAUCCAGGCUGGAGUGCACUGGCAUGAUCUUGGCUCACUGCAGCCUCUACCUCCUGAGUUCAAGCCAUUCUGCUGCCUCAGACUCCCUAGCAGCUGGGACUACAGGUGCGAGCCACCACGUCCAGCUAAGUUUUUGUAUUUUUAAUAGAGACAGGGUUUCACCAUGUGGGCCAGGCUGGUCUCAAACUCCUGACCUUCAGUGAUCCACCCAAUUCGGCCUUCCAAAGUGCUGGGAUUACAGGCGUGGGCCACCAUGCCUGGCCUAUUCUAGGUAUUUUAAAAAAAUGCAUUAAAAUGCCUGCAAAUACAGUGCCAGUUUUUUAAGGAAUAUUCCAUCCCUAAAACUCUCUAAUUAUUUGUGCCUUGUUUCCCCCUCAGAGGAGAGUGAAAUAUUUCCCCAAAUAGAAGGUUAACAGUUGGGAUUGUUUUUGUCAGUUUUGCUUUGUCUCCCCCCAACCCUGCCUCAUCACUAUUGUGAGAGAGAAUGCACAUUUUUUCUACCCACGGUAAAAUUGACAACGGAAACACUGUCUUCUCCAAUUCCCAAUGCACUGCACCACUGCUGCAGACAAACAGUGAGUCUGAAGUGAAGCGGGAGGGAGUUGGUAGAAAUAAGGCCCCACCCAGCGUGAAGCUUCCAGAUGAUCUGGGGGCCACGCGAUGCAGGUGCUAUCAGCAAGUAGCAGGCUGCAUGGCUGGCUUGUGAGUUAUUGCUGUGGUCACAAGAUCUCCUUGCUGUAGCAUUCUGCGUGUGUAGGUGAUAAAUCUUAGGGACACGAGGGAACACAUCAGGCUUCUCUCCUCUGGCCCAUUAUUUUUCUCCUACAUCAUUUAGAAAAGUGCAGGUCUGGACCUUUUAAUUUUUUUUUUUUUUUUGAUCAUGAAUGUUUUCUUCAGCUCCAUGCCACAUUUCCUUCUGCAUGUUCAAUUUUCACAAUGGAGUGUAUUUUUAAAGCGUGGCUCAAUAGAAGAUGAGAGAACAGAAACCUUAAGCAGGAGACAAGAGAAAGAGACAAAUACACGCAUUUGCUCUCUUUGUUCUCUUGCGAAUGGCGAUGUGAAAGUCUGGUGGAGUCAGAUAUAGUUCCUGCUUGCAAAGGGAGCAAAAGGGAAAGAAACUUACAUCUUUUAAGACCAUGCUAUGUACCAAAAUCUACACUAGUCUGCAGAGAGAGCACGUCAUUGUGGUCAAACGCGUCUAUACUGCAAGUCAACGUCCCUGGGUUCAAAUCCCAGCUCCUCCUCUUGCAGUUGGAUGCCUUGAACAAAUGACUUGAUGUCUUCACCUGUAAAAUGGGCAUAAUACUAAUCCCUACAUCACCGGACAUUUUAAAAUUUAGAUUAAGUUAAACACAACAUGAAAUUAAGCAUGUUUAAAAGUAUAAAUAAGUGGCAUUUAGUACAUUCAGAAAGUUGUCACCUCUAUCUAGUUCCAAAGCAUUUUAAUCACCUCUAAAAUAAAUCUUGUAUCCAUUAAACAGUCACUCCCCAUUUCCUCCAUCCCAGCGCCUGCCAGCCACUCAUCUACUUUCUAUCUGUAUAGAUUUCUUUCUUCUGGAUGUUUCCCAUAAGUAGAAUGAUGCUAUAUGUGACCUUUUGCAUCUAGCUUCUUUCACUUAGCAUAAUGCUUUUGGGAUUCAUUUACAUUGUAACGUACAUCAGUACUUCAUCCCUUUUUUAUGGCUGAGUAAUAUUCCAUUAUUUGGAUAUGUACAUUUUGUCUUUCUAUUCAAACAUUGAUGGAUAUUUGAGUUAUUUCCACCUUUCAGCCAUUGUAAAUAAUGUUACCAUGAACAUUCAUGCACAGGUAUUUGAAUACUUCUUUUAAAUUCUUUUGAGUAUAUACAGUUAUUUCUCAUUAUUCCCAGUAGUUAUGUUCUAUUAAUACAUAGCAAACACUGAAUUAUCAAAUACUAAAUCCUAGCUAAGAGAAAUAUAUCUGUUUCUCUAUCUAUUAUCUAUCUAGAUAGCUAGCAAGCUAUCAUCUAUCUAGUGUGUGUGUGUGUGUCUGUGUGUGUGUGUGUGUGUCUGUGUGUCUGUGUGUGGUAACUCAUCCUGGGAGAUUCUAUUUUAUUUUACAAAAUAGAAAAUAAAAUUCAGAAGUGCUGGAGUGGCCGAGUGCAGUGGCUUACGCCUGUAAACCCAGCACUUUGGAAGGCCCAGGCAGGCGGAUCCCUGAGGUCAGAAGUUCAAGACCAGUGUAGCAAAACCCUGUCUCUACUACAAAUGCAAUGCAAAAAAAAAAAAAAAAGAAAGAAAUUAGCCAGCAUGGUGGCACGCACCUGCAGGCUCAGCUACUUGGGAAACUAAGGCAGGGG
rnacentral:lncRNA from 1 species